GGCCUGCAUGAGGGAAGGAACCAUCUCCUGCAGCUGCAGAACUGCUACAUGGAGGUUACUCCAGCUCAAUGAUUUUUGCUGCCUAGAGUGUAGCCAGUACAAUCCCAAAAAGUGGCAGAAGAGGAAGAAGAGAUGUGGAUGUUGUGGUUAAGGCACUGGACUGUAACACUGCAGAUCUAGAUUUAAUUCCCAGCUCUGCCACAACUUUCAGUUACACUGCAGUCUCUUGGGGGAAGAGACUGUUUCUUACAGCACAUGCGUAUGGUGCCUUGCACAGUGAGGACCUGAUCUUGGCCUGGGGCCUCUAAGUUACUGUAAUCGAAGAAGAAGAUGAAGAAGAAGGAAAUGUAUGAGAUCAAUUUUAAGAAAUUGAUUUCCAGUGUCCACUUGUAUGCCUAUGUUUCCAUGUCCAUUUAGUUCAGCUGCACAUGUAAUCAUCACAGUUGCAUGAGUAAAAGUGUA